AUUGAACGCUGGCGGCAGGCCUAACACAUGCAAGUCGAACGAGCGGCGGACGGGUGAGUAAUGUCUGGGAAUCUGCCUGAUGGAGGGGGAUAACUACUGGAAACGGUAGCUAAUACCGCAUACCAUCGGAUGUGCCCCUAUGGGAUUAGCUUGUUGGUGGGGUAAAGGCUCACCAAGUCGACGAUCCCUAGCUGGUCUGAGAGGAUGACCAGCCACACUGGAACUGAGACACGGUCCAGACUCCGACGUGAGGCAGCAGUGGGGAAUAUUGCACAAUGGGCGCAAGCCUGAUGCAGCCAUGCCGCGUGUAUGAAGAAGGCCUUCGGGUUGUAAAGUACUUUCAGCGGGGAGGCGUUACCCGCAGAAGAAGCACCGGCUAACUCCGUGCCAGCAGCCGCGGUAAUUC
rnacentral:rRNA from 1 species